rnacentral:rRNA from 1 species
UGAGGAAUAUUGGGGCAAUGGAGGCAACUCUGACCCAGCCAUGCCGCGUGAGUGAAGAAGUAUUUCGGUAUGUAAAGCUCUAUCAGCAGGGAAGAAAAUGACGGUACCUGACUAAGAAGCCCCGGCUAACUACGUGCCAGCAGCCGCGGUAAUACGUAGGGGCAAGCGUUAUCCGGAUUUACUGGGUGUAAAGGGAGCGUAGACGGCAGCGCAAGUCUGAAGUGAAAGCCCGGGGCUCAACCCCGGAAUGGCUUUGGAAACUGCGCGGCUAGAGUACCGGAGGGGUAAGCGGAAUUCCUAGUGUAGCGGUGAAAUGCGUAGAUAUUAGGAGGAACACCAGUGGCGAAGGCGGCUUACUGGACGGUAACUGACGUUGAGGCUCGAAAGCGUGGGGAGCAAACAGGAUUAGAUACCCUGGUAGU